CAAGGAUUCCCCUAGUAACGGCGAGUGAAGAGGGAAGAGCCCAAGAUUGAAAGCUGGCGUCUUCGGCGUCCGCAUUGUAAUCUCAAGAAGUGUUUUCCGCUUCGGACCAUGCCUAAGUCCCUUGGAAAAGGGCAUCAUAGAGGGUGAUAAUCCCGUACAUGGCAUGGAGCGCCCGAAGCUUUGUGAUACGCUUUCUAAGAGUCGAGUUGUUUGGGAAUGCAGCUCAAAAUGGGUGGUAAAUGCCAUCUAAGGCUAAAUAUUGGGGAGAGACCGAUAGCGAACAAGUACAGUGAUGGAAAGAUGAAAAGAACUUUGAAAAGAGAGUUAAACAGUACGUGAAAUUGCCAAAAGGGAAGGGUAGGAGGUCAGAGAUGCGGCCUGGGAUUCAGCCUUGCUUUUGCUUGGUGUUUUUCCCAGAUUGCAGGCCAACGUCGGUUUUGGGCACUGGAGAAGGGUAGGAGGAACGUGGCACCUCUCGGGGUGUGUUAUAGCCUCCUACUGGAUACAGCGACCGAGACCGAGGACAGCAGCGUACUCGCAAGAGCGGGCCUUCGGGCACCUUUACGCUUAGGGCGUUGGCAUAAUGGCCCUCUACCACCCGUCUUGAAACACGGGAC
rnacentral:rRNA from 1 species